AGUGAACGCUGGCGGUAGGCCUAACACAUGCAAGUCGAACGGCAGCACAGGAGAGCUUGCUCUCUGGGUGGCGAGUGGCGGACGGGUGAGGAAUACAUCGGAAUCUACCUUUUCGUGGGGGAUAACGUAGGGAAACUUACGCUAAUACCGCAUAAGACCUUCGGUGAAAGCGGGGACCUUCGGGCCUGCGCGGAUAGAUG
rnacentral:rRNA from 1 species